UGGGGAAUUUUGGACAAUGGGCGCAAGCCUGAUCCAGCCAUGCCGCGUGUCUGAAGAAGGCCUUCGGGUUGUAAAGGACCUUUGUCAGGGAAGAAAAGGCUGUUGCUAAUAUCGACAGCUGAUGACGGUACCUGAAGAAUAAGCACCGGCUAACUACGUGCCAGCAGCCGCGGUAAUACGUAGGGUGCGAGCGUUAAUCGGAAUUACUGGGCGUAAAGCGAGCGCAGACGGUUACUUAAGCAGGAUGUGAAAUCCCCGGGCUCAACCUGGGAACUGCGUUCUGAACUGGGUGACUAGAGUGUGUCAGAGGGAGGUAGAAUUCCACGUGUAGCAGUGAAAUGCGUAGAGAUGUGGAGGAAUACCGAUGGCGAAGGCAGCCUCCUGGGAUAACACUGACGUUCAUGCUCGAAAGCGUGGGUAGCAAACAGGAUUAGAUACCCUGGUAGUCCACGCCCUAAACGAUGUCAAUUAGCUGUUGGGCAACUUGAUUGCUUAGUAGCGUAGCUAACGCGUGAAAUUGACCGCCUGGGGAGUACGGUCGCAAGAUUA
rnacentral:rRNA from 1 species